rnacentral:lncRNA from 1 species
CUGGUGCGCUGGUGCGCUAACUGGUGCACUAACUGGUGCACUAACUGGCGCGCUAACUGGGGAACUUGCCGCCCGGAGUACCCACUAUUGCGCAGGCGGGGUGGAUCCAGAAAAGCGCCGCUUUGUGCCGUCACCGUGGCCCUGCGGUUCCAGCCGCAGGGAGUUGGGUCGGGGCUGGGGGACGCACAGGCCCGCUCAGGACAGACCGCGCCCCGGGGAGACGCGGAGACCGACCGGAGACCCACCCGGAGACCCCGCGGUGCCCCCGACGGACGCAGCUGCCGUGCGGGCGGUGGCCACCGGGGGGCAGUGCCUCCCCAGCCCUGUCCCGGUCGGAGCGGGCGCGGCCCCGUCCCCCGGGCGCCCUCGGAGCCCCGUCCCGGCUCGCAGCGCCCCCACCCCCGGGCCCGCGGGCGCCGUCCAGCCGGGGUUCCGGGGGGUCGUGGGGAGGUCGGGGGGAGGUCGGGGCCCAGACCGGCCUCGGGGAGGGGGCUCGCGGGGCCUCGGGGCAGGCGCACUCGUGUCCGCAGCCCCGGGUGUGCCGAGGUACCGGCCCUGCGGCCACAGACGCGGCGGCGCGCGGAGACCACGAGGGGGCGUGGGGAGCCUCCGGGCCGGAGGGGUGCGCGGCGGGGACGGGCCAGCGCGGGGCGGGGUGCUGGGUCCUGCCGUGGGCCGGACCCCCCAGCUCGGGUGCUCCCAGGGCGCCCUGGACCUGCUCCCCCAGCUCGGGUGCUCCCAGGGCGCCCUGGACCUGCUCCCCCCAGCUCGGGUGCUCCCAGGGCUCCCUGGACCGGCUCCCCCCAGCUCGGGGUGCUCCCAGGGCACCGCAGACUGACCCCCCAGCUCGGGGUGCUCCCAGGGCGUAGUGGACCGGCUCCCCCAGCUCGAGGUGCUCCUAGGCCCCUGGACCGGCCCCCCAGCUCGGGGUGCUCCCAGGGCGUCGUGGACCGGCUCCCCCCAGCUCGAGGUGCUCCCAGGGCGUCGUGGACCGGCUCCCCCCAGCUCGAGGUGCUCCCAGGGCGUCGUGGACCGGCUCCCCCCAGCUCGAGGUGCUCCCAGGGCGUCGUGGACUGGCUCCCCCCAGCUCAGGGUGCUCCCAGGGCGUCGUGGACCGGCUCCCCCCAGCUCGGGAUGCUCCUAGGGCGUCAUGGACCUGCUCCCCCCAGCUCGGGAUGCUCCCAGGGCUUCAUGGACCUGCUCCCCCCAGCUCGGGGUGCUCCCAGGGCAUCGUGGACCGGCUCCCCCCAGCUCAGAGUGCUCCCAGGGCACUGCAGACUGACCCCCCAGCUCGGGGUGCUCCCAGGGCGUCGUGGACUGGCUCCCCCCAGCUCAGGGUGCUCCCAGGGCGUUGUGGACCAGCUCCCCCCAGCUCAGGGUGCUCCCAGGGCGUUGUGGACCAGCUCCCCCCAGCUCGGGGUGCUUCCAGGGCACCCUGGACUGGCUCCCCCCAGCUCGGGGUGCUCCCAGGGCACCCUGGACCGGCUCCCCCCAGCUCGGGGUGCCUCCAGGGUGCCCUGA